CCUACGGGAGGCAGCAGUGGGGAAUUUUGGACAAUGGGGGCAACCCUGAUCCAGCCAUGCCGCGUGAGUGAAGAAGGCCUUCGGGUUGUAAAGCUCUUUCGGCCGGAACGAAAUCGCGCACGUGAAUAACGUGCGUGGAUGACGGUACCGGAGUAAGAAGCACCGGCUAACUACGUGCCAGCAGCCGCGGUAAUACGUAGGGUGCGAGCGUUAAUCGGAAUUACUGGGCGUAAAGCGUGCGCAGGCGGUUCGCUAAGUCAGACGUGAAAGCCCCGGGCUUAACCUGGGAACGGCGUUUGAAACUGGCGGGCUCGAGUACGGCAGAGGGGGGUGGAAUUCCACGUGUAGCAGUGAAAUGCGUAGAUAUGUGGAGGAACACCGAUGGCGAAGGCAGCCCCCUGGGCCGAUACUGACGCUCAUGCACGAAAGCGUGGGGAGCAAACAGGAUUAGAUACCCUGGUAGUCCACGCCCUAAACUAUGUCAACUAGUUGUCGGGGAAGCAAUUCCUUGGUAACGCAGCUAACGCGUGAAGUUGACCGCCUGGGGAGUCGGUCGCAAGAUUAAAACUUAAGGAAUUGACGGCUUGAGACNGCGAGACGACGACGAGGGAGGAGG
rnacentral:rRNA from 1 species